rnacentral:lncRNA from 1 species
AGGCAAUUGUGUAUUCAGUUUACUCUAAGUGUUUUCUUUAGAAAAGCCCUUUUGUCAUUGAUUUAUUGCACAAUUUAGUUUUCAGCCCAUGUCAUGGAGAGCAUUCCUCUCUUUAACUCUAUCCUGUCUAGUCAUGUUUUGACAGGUCGUUGUUGUGUUUUUUUGCCAGGAGGUUGGUGUUAUGAUCAAGACGGGCCUGCCUGCGGCGCUAGUCAAAUCUCUGUAUCUGUUUGUAGCUUUGCCUCCCCGAAAAGAGAAUUCUGACUCUUCACCAAAAGAUGUCAAAGAGGAUCUCAAAUGUUCUUUUCAGGACACUCUUAUUCAGGGAUUUUUGCAACUGUGCAGGCAUGUGUGUUUUGUGGAGGUUUUGCUGGAGACCCAGGAGCUGUCGAGUGUGAUCAUCUCUCUCACUCUACUGUGGGAUCAGUGCAGCUCUUCAUGGAGACAGCAGGCGUCUCGAGUCCUCAGAUCAGUGUCUGCGGCACAAGCUCACAACACUGUAUCUGCACUGCAAGCUAGCAACUGCAUGAAGAUCUGCAUCCAGAACAUGCAUAAGAUCAGCGAAGACGUCCCUGCUCAUGUUCUCGCUGAGGUGGCUGUGAGUGUUUUCAGCUUCGUGAAGGACUCCUAUGCUAUCAACCCUGCUCUUUUUGAGGAGUUUGAGAACAACGAUGGCUACGACAUCUUACAGACCAUCAUAUUACGGUAAAAUACAUCACUUUAUUUGAAAAACCAUCAAUGAUAGAUAGGAUUAUCAGCAAAUAUUGCAGAUAUGAAACCACCUCCAGAAAGCGCUUGUAUUUUAGGUACUUUUCAUUCCUUAUUUUCAUCUCUCUCUUUCUUCCUCUUAUUCUCAGCUCUUUCCUGCUGCAAGUUUCUUUUUGAAAGCUGCAGAGUUCAAUAAUUAAAGAGCUCGUAAUGAGAUCAGCAGUAAAUUGAGCUCAAUUACAUUACGGAUCAUGCCAGCUCUCUCUAACUCACUGUGUGUCUGCUCUUCCUCACAGCGAGGGUCAAUGUAGGACAAGACCGCUUUCAGUCAACAAUGGCUCUCAUUCACUAUGUGUGUCUAUAUGUGCUUUUAUGUAAAGUCUGUAGGUGGUGGUUAUUUUGUUUGUGCAUAGAUUGUGCAUUGUAUCUUUUUUGCACACUUAGUAUAUAAAAGUGCUGCUUCCUUAAUGGCAAAAUAAUUUUGGGUUUAAGUCUUUAAUUUAAUUUUAUGUUAUGACCCUUAAUGGAAAUAUGUCUAGGAAAUUAAACAGAGCAACAUUGAGAUGACCAAAAUAAUAAGUGUUUUUUGGUUCGAGUAAGUUCAGAGUGCAUAUUUUCUUCUUUAGAGGAAUGGGAGGA